CUGGGUAGCGCGUGGUCCUACUACGCACAACAAAAAUGAUAGAGACAUAGGACACAGACACACGGAACUGCGACAUAACCCGGUCGUAGAGGACAUGUGGACAAGGGUGAAGGUGGUUCUUUGUACUUCACAGGAGUUCCAUUGGGGGCAGGUGUGGCCCUAGCCUGUCAGUACCACGGUAACAACCAGGUGUGUGUGAUGCUGUAUGUAGAUGGAGCAGCCAACCAGGGCCAGAUCUUUGAGUCUUUUAACAUGGCGUGUAUCUUCAUCUAUGAGAGCAACAAGUUUGGCAUGUGGACGUCUGUAGAGAGGUCCUCUGCUAGCACUGAGUACUUCAAGAGAUGAGACUCUAUACCUGGCCUCAAGGUAGGACACACACACACACAUACACAGUCAGUGAGUGAAUCUGUAUUUCCCUUCCUGUCUCUGGGUGUAGGUGGACAGCAUGGACGUUCUGUGUGUAAGGGAGGCCAUCAAGAUUGCUGCAGACCCAUGCAGAGCCUGGAAGGGGAGCUAUGAUUGGUUGUAGAGCUGGAGAAGAGGAGUUCUGAUUGGUGCGAAGAUGAGAAAGUUAUAACUGGUGUAAGUGCCUCGAGAAGUGUUAAGAAUCCCUCUGUCUCAGACAAUCUAAUCUCAGAGUGAUGAUCAGCUUCCAGUUUCAUACCAGUGUCUCCUCCCUGACAGAGGGAGGCUCUGUGACCAGCAUAGAGACACUCUGUGGAAGAGAGUCCAGUACACACUCCUGGUGUGCUGCAAGGCCAAAGAGCAUAAAGAGGAAGAUGCUGAGAAACUGCUGCUCCAAUAGAAAUCACUGAUCAGGCUAUUGAGCAGUGUCAUGGCGUCGUUGGCUAGCUUGUUGAGUCUCUUGGUUUGGAAACCUCUCUGGCAGGGUCCUAUUGUCAUGGAGCUGGAGACCUACCAUUACUAUGGACAUAGCAUGAGCAACCCCGGGGUUAGGUGAGACUUGAUCUCUGACCCCUGACCCUGUGACCGUCACCUGACCCCCGGUCUCUCUCCACCCCCUCACUCUUCUCACA